GACGAACGCUGGCGGCGUGCCUAAUACAUGCAAGUAGAACGCUGAAGGAGGAACUUGCUCUUCUGGAUGAGUUGCGCACGGGUGAGUAACGCGUAUGUAACCUGCCUGGUAGCGGGGGAUAACUCUUGGAAACGAUAGCUAAUACCGCAUAAGAGUAGAUGUUGCAUGACAUUUACUUAAAAGGUGCAAUUGCAUCGCUACCAGUUGGACCUGCGUUGUAUUAGCUAGUUGGUGGGGUAACGGCUUACCAAGGCGACGAUACAUAGCCGACCUGAGAGGGUGAUCGGCCACACUGGAACUGAGACACGGCCCAGACUCCUACGGGAGGCAGCAGUAGGGAAUCUUCGGCAAUGGACGGAAGUCUGACCGAGCAACGCCGCGUGAGUGAAGAAGGUUUUCGGAUCGUAAAGCUCUGUUGUAAGAGAAGAACGAGUGUGAGAGUGGAAAGUCCACACUGGAAGGGUAUCUUACCAGAAAGGAAGGGCUAACUACGG
rnacentral:rRNA from 1 species